rnacentral:rRNA from 1 species
GACAGAGGUGCCGAGCGUUAGGCGGAAUCACUGGGCUUAAAGCGUGUGUAGGCGGAUCGUUAAGUGCCUUGUGAAAUCCCACGGCUCAACCGUGGAACUGCUUGGCAUACUGGCGAUCUUGAGCCACUUAGGGGCUACCGGAACAAAUGGUGGAGCGGUGAAAUGCGUAGAUAUCAUCUGGAAUACCGGAGGCGAAGGCGGCUCACCGGGAGUUUUCUGACGCUGAGGAACGAAAGCCAGGGUAGCGAACGGG